UAUACAGUGUGUGGGAAGUCUGCAGCUUUAUCCUUAUUGUAGCAGAGUUAAAUAGAGUUAGAAUCAAUUUACACUUACAGUUGGUUGGAGGCACUUAAGACAGGCACUAUACAGAAUGAGGUCACGUCAUGUAAGUUUUAAAACUACUGUAAAGAAGAGAAAUGCAGAAAUCAUCUCGAUUGUAGACCAAACAUUACACAAAGAACAGGAAAGGGUCAGGAAUAGAAGGGAGAAGGAGGAGAAAACAGCGAGCGUUGACAGUGUGCAGGAAGUCCACGGUUAGUCCCUCCCUGGCGACAACAGCAGUUAAGCGGUGUAUGAAAAGGGCUGCAACAGGAACAGAGUGAGCCAUGGAGGAGAAGGAAGAGCCAAUUUAGAGUGUCCAAUCCACCUUCAGCAUGUCUUUGAGAUGUGGGAAGAAAGCAGAGCACCCUGAGAAGACCCACAUGACCGCAGGGAGAACAUGCAGACUUCGCACAGAAGGCACCCUAGCUGAGAAUCAAAUAGAAAAACCUCCUGCUGUGAGGUGGCAACACUAACCACUUCACCACCUCAGCCACCCCAGAGUCAGUUAUGUUCCAAUAAUAAAAUAAAAAGGGAAGAACUAUAUUGGCUAGUGCUCUUAAAUAACACCUGGUAUGGAAGAACAUCUUAAUAUUAAAUUUGAUCUUGAAGCUCACCCUUUGAGAUAACUUUUUUCAAAACAGUGCACAUAAGGAUUUUUACAGUUUUCUUAAUUAUUAACUAGUAGGAUUGUGUUUUAUAUACUUAUUUCUGAUUGGUUGUACACAUUUAAGUACAGUUUGAUAUCCUUUGACAUUAUUUUAAUUUUUUGUUUUUUGUAAAAAAAAACAUGUAAUGUAGGUUUGAUUCCCUGUUAUGAUGACGUAUUUGUAAACAUAAGACAAAUGUGCUAAACAGGUUCAUUAAAGUUGCCCGGUUUCUUCA